UGAACGGCCACAUCGGCUGUAGCGAAAACGCAACCGAGCACAGCAGCGUUUGGACCACCAGCAGCGACCCCAGUUCGAGUGGCAGGGUCAGGAGAGGGAGGCGGGCCGGGAA
rnacentral:sRNA from 1 species